rnacentral:snRNA from 1 species
GUGCUCGCUUCGGCAGCACAUAUACUAAAAAAUUGGAAUGAUACAGAGAAGAUAAGCAUGGCCCCUGCGCAAGGAUGAUACGCAAAUUCGUGAAGCAUUCCAUAUUAAA